rnacentral:rRNA from 1 species
UACAGAGGUCUCAAGCGUUGUUCGGGUUCAUUGGGCGUAAAGGGUGCGUAGGUGGCGCGGUAAGUCGGGUGUGAAAUUUCGGAGCUUAACUCCGAAACUGCAUUCGAUACUGCCGUGCUUGAGGACUGGAGAGGAGACUGGAAUUUACGGUGUAGCAGUGAAAUGCGUAGAGAUCGUAAGGAAGACCAGUGGCGAAGGCGGGUCUCUGGACAGUUCCUGACACUGAGGCACGAAGGCCAGGGGAGCAAACGGG